rnacentral:rRNA from 1 species
UUUGGUGAUGAUGGCAUAGAGGAAACACGAGGAAACACUCCUUCCCAUACCGAACAGGAAAGUUAAGCUCUAUAGCGCCGAUGGUACUGCAUGGGAGACCGUGUGGGAGAGUAGGACGUUGCCAAGU